CCGUUUGGUCACAAGUAUCAUAAUAGUUUGGUUGACACAUGAUCUGCCGAUUUCUCAAGUUCUUUCUUUUUAUGAGCGGGGAUUUCUCAAGUUCAAUGGAUCGAUGAUUCUAUCUCUGCAAUCUGUUUAUUUUUUCUGUUUUAUUUAAUGGAGUGUCUAUUUCUCAGUCGCUUAAGAAAUAGUCGAAAAUUGUAGCCAUCCAAUGAAGAUUUUCCUAUCAAUCGAACAUACAUUAAUCUUACACGAAUCUCAAUAAUUGAAUCAAAAAGUUGUU
rnacentral:lncRNA from 1 species